rnacentral:lncRNA from 1 species
UUUUUUUUUAGUUUUUGUUUUGUACUUUUGCAUCUUCUAAGUUGGAAAUAAUUUGUUUUGGGUAGUCUCCACUCUUUACAAAUGCUUCCAUAUUCUCCUUUUCCUGAAGAAAGAAUGCCCAAUACACCUGAAAAAGUUGUCAAAUGCACAGUAUCAUUUUUACAUAUUUACCACACUCAAUUACCGAAAGGAAAAUUCCUGGACAGUAGAAUAACCACUGAAAUUUUAAUAAGAUUGAGCAAAAACUUUAUUUUAUUAAUAUUCUUUUACUUUCAAGACGAAGAAAUAUAUAAGUUCUACUAAAUGAAGAAUGCCUUGACCUAAAUUAGAAAGUAUUUAAUCUAGGACCAGAUUCUUAACUUAAGAGCACUUUUAAGAGUAACACAGCCCAUUCUGAAGUGGACUUGCCCCAGACAUGAUGAAGACUCUAAUGAACCCAAAUGAGCUCUCAUCCUCCAUCAAAGACAAAGGAAAUUGUUUACAUGAGCAAAUUCAAGAUGACGGUCAAGACUGAAACAUCAGAAUAACAUAACAUUUGCCUUUCAUGGUAAACUAAAGCUUCCAUAUUUUCCAAUUUCCAAAAAAAAAAAAAAAAAAGAGUUGUGACUUUUAUAUAUUUCUUUGAUCAAAAUAAAAAUUUUAAUUGCAAAAUCAAGUAAUUGGAAAUGCCACAAUACUUCAUCAAUAAACACAUGAGGUGAUAUACUAAUAAAAAUGUAAUACAUUUUAUAUCUUCUAAAUACCUAAGAGGAACAUUUCUUUUUUUUUUUUUUUUUUUNNNNNNNNNNGUCUUUUUCUAGGGCCACACCGGCAGCAUUAUGGAGGUUCCCAGGCUAGGGGUCUAAUCAGACCUGUAGCCGCAGGCCUACACCAUAGCCACAGAAAUGCUGGAUCAGAGAGCCGAGUCUGCGACCUACACCACAGCUCAUGGCAACACUGGAUCCUUAACCCACUGAGCAAGGCGAGGGAUUGAACCCACAGCCUCAUGGUUCCUAGUCAGAUUCAUUAACCACUGAGCCACGAUGGGAACUCCGAGAGAAACACUUCAAUAGUAUGAAUUUGAAAUGUUCUAUAUUUUGCUUAUUUACGAAUUUAAAGAGUGAAGAUACAACUAAUUCUAUAUCUUCAAAAAAUAGCCAUUAAUAAAAAAUGAACAGCUUUAAAGGUAAUUCUUAUUUUUGGCUUAAUACAAUUCAAAAGAGAAUAUGAAUUAUGAUGAAGAAAAUUAUAUGUAUGAAUGUACGUAGUAAUAUAUGUGAUGGUGUGUGUAGGUGUAUGUAUAGUAUGUAUAGUCUUCUUCAACAUAAGCUGGCUAUCCUGGAUUAGUGACUCUAAAGACUACUUAGUCUCACAUAAUGCAAAUAGUAGUUGGUACAGCUGCUGUUUUUAGUGCAGAGAAAUAAAGAGAUAAAAUUUCCUGAAGCAGUCCCAUAUUACAGGUCUAGGGCUCACCAAAGUUACUGGUAACUAUACUGAUGCUGAAAAUGGCCAAAUGACAAUACAAAAUGCUUGAUACCACUUAUAUGUGGAAUAUGGAAAAAAAAUUAUAUGAAAGAAUUUAUUUACCAAACAGAAAUAGACUCACAAACUUUAAAAACAAACAUAAUUACCAAAGGGGACAGGUGGGGGUUAGGGACAGAUUGGGGGCUUGGGAUUGGCACAUGCACACUGUUGUAUAUGGAAUGGAUGGUCAAUGGAAACCUCUGCAUAGCACAAGGAACUCUAUCCAAUAUUCUGUAAUAACCUACAUGGGAAAAGGAUCUGACAAAAAAUGUUUAUAUAUAUGUAUAACUGAAUCACUUUGUUGUGUAACAGAAAUUAACCCAACAUUGUAAAUCAACUAUAAUUCAAUAAAAUAUUUUAAAAGUUCUCCAAAAAAGUUCUUUAAAAUGCUUGAUGAGUUUCCUGGGUGGUGCAGUGGGUUACAGAUCUGGUGUUGUCACUCCCAUGGCUCAGGCUACAGCUGUGGCACAGGUUCAAUCCCUGGCCCUUUAAUUCCUGCAUGCUGCAGAUGCAGCCCAAAAAAAUAAAUAAAUAAAAUAAAAUAAAAUAAAAUGCUUGAAGAAAGGUAAAAGAUAACAAAAAGCUUAAAAUUGAUUAGUAUCUACCACUGACUCAGUAACAUGUAGAUUAUAGAAUGAGUGACAAAUUUGGCAAUUGUCUUAACUGACACAGAGUUGUACCAAAUAAAAAUUUUAAUGCUCUUUUUUCCCUUAUAGAUUAUUCAAAGUACCUAUAAUUUGCUACUUCUCUUUUCUGAGGGAUCAAAGCCAAAGUGGGCAUAGGUAAAUUAUUUAAUAAUAUGAUGCCUAAUUUUCAAACAGAAAUUAAUUUAUAUUAUGGAGAUGCUGAAGACCAGGAAUUCUAGCUCUGAAUUUAGAACUUAUACUAAACCUCGAACCUCAUUUUUAUUCAUGUAUUCCUAUUAAUAUAAAAUAUAAGCAAUAAAUUGCUAUUUGCAGGAAAAGGGAUAAAGUUAUUUUCUUUAACUAUUUUGUAUAAAUAUUCACAACUUCCACAGUUUGCAAAAGCAGUGGGUAACCUUUAUAGUAAGUUUAUAGUUUCGACAGGUUCUUUUUAAAAAUUAACAUUUUAUUCUUACAUUAGCCCUAUAACCAUUUUACAAAUUAAAAACUGUGACUCAAACAUGUUAAGUGAUUUGCCCUAAAAUAAAUCAGAGAAGUCAAAAUGAUAGUCUGAAAUUCAUAUUCUAAUAUCUAUAAUAGCUGCACUUUUUAAAAACAUCGUUAUCAACUAUAGUCGCCAUGUUUUACAGAGGAUCUCAGGCAUUACAUAUUUUACAGCUAAAAGCUUGUGCCCUUUUACCAACCUUUCCCUAUUUCCCUUACCUCCCAGUCCCCGGUAACCACUUUUCUCCUCUCUGUUCCUAAGAGUAUGAAUUUUGUUUGUUUGAUUCCACAUAUAAGGGAUACCAUGCAAUAUUUCUCUUUGUCUGGCUCACUUCAUUUAGCAUAGUACCCUCAAGGUCCAUGCUGUCACCAAUGGCAGGAUUUCCUUCUUUCUUGCGGCUGAAUAAUAUUCCACUGUGGGUGUGUCCCAUUGAGGGACACUGAAAAACGAAAAAAGCUGACACACUUUUCAGCUACAAAGGAACUUACCUACCUGGAGCUUGAAGCAGAAUGGAAUACCAGUUGUGUAUCAUACAAAGAAACUUACCUGGCUGGAGCUGGAAACAGAAUGGAAUACCAGUUAUGUAUCAUACGCAUGAUGUCCAGAAUGCUUACUUUAAGAUUUUCUAUCAAAACUUGCUUCUGAGUUCCAGUCCAAAAUGACAAUACAGGAGGCUCCUGAACUUAGCUCCUCUCAUGGGCACAAUGAAUCCAGUUAUACACAGAGCAAUUCCCUCUAAAAGAAAUGUGGAAACUAGCUGAGUGACACUGAUAUAUCAAGCAAACAAGAAAAUACCCACAUCAAAGCAAUCUACAUAUUCAAUAAAGUCACUAUCAAAAUACCAAUGGCAUUUUUCAUAGACAUAGAAAAAUCCUAAAAUGUGUAUGGAACCACAAAAGAAUUGCCAAAGGAAACUGGGAACCCCUGUGUGCUGUUGGUGGGAAAAAAAAAAAUUUAAAGUAGAGAGUUCUCUUGCAGUGCAGCAG